rnacentral:rRNA from 1 species
CAGUCGCCGCGGUAAUACGUAGGUCCCGAGCGUUGUCCGGAUUUAUUGGGCGUAAAGCGAGCGCAGGCGGUUAGAUAAGUCUGAAGUUAAAGGCUGUGGCUUAACCAUAGUACGCUUUGGAAACUGUUUAACUUGAGUGCAAGAGGGGAGAGUGGAAUUCCAUGUGUAGCGGUGAAAUGCGUAGAUAUAUGAAGGAACACCGGUGGCGAACGCGGCUCUCUGGCUUGUAACUGACGCUGAGGCUCGAAAGCGUGGGGAGCAAACAGGAUUAGAUACCCCAGUAGUCCCUGUCUCUUAUACA